UCGUGAGUCGGGUACGAGCGCACCUCGCCCUUAGUUGCCAGCGGGUAAUGCCGGGGACUCUAAGGGGACUGCCUUUUAGGAGGAAGGAGAGGACGACGUCAAGUCAGUAUGGCCUUUAUGUCCUGGGCUACACAGGCGCUACAAUGGAUAUGACAAUGGGUAGCAAACCGGCGACGGUGAGCCAAUCCCCAAACAUAUUCUCAGUUCGGAUUGCAGAUUGCAACUCAUCUGCAUGAAGUCGGAAUCGCUAGUAAACGCAGAUCAGCAAUGUUGCGUUGAAUACGUUCCCGGGCCUUGUACACACCUCCCGUCAAGCCACCUGAAUUGGCUGCACCAGAAGCCGUUGGCCUAACCCUUCGGGGAAGGAGAUGACCAAGGUGUGGUCAGUAAGGGGGACUAAGUCGUAACAAGGUAGCCGUAGCGGAAGCUGCGGCUGGAUCACCUCCUUUUU
rnacentral:rRNA from 1 species